UACGGGGGGGGCAAGCGUUGUUCGGAAUUACUGGGCGUAAAGGGUUCGUAGGUGGCUUGUUAAGUCAGACGUGAGAUCCCUCGGCUCAACCGGGGAACUGCGUCUGAGACUGAUGAGCUCGAGUGCAGGAGAGGAACGCGGAAUUCCAGGUGUAGCGGUGAAAUGCGUAGAUAUCUGGAGGAACACCGGUGGCGAAGGCGGCGUUCUGGACUGCAACUGACACUGAGGAACGAAAGCCAGGGGAGCAAACGGG
rnacentral:rRNA from 1 species